GGGGAUUUAGCUCAGUGGUAGAGCGCUUGCCUAGCGAGCUAGAGCGCUUGCCUAGCGAGCGCAAGGCCCUGGGUUCGGUCCCCAGCUCCG
rnacentral:tRNA from 1 species